AGGCCUAACACAUGCAAGUCGAGGGGCAGCACGGUGUAGCAAUACACGGGUGGCGACCGGCGCACGGGUGAGUACGCGUAUCAACCUGCCUACUACAAGGGGAUAACCCGUUGAAAGACGGACUAAUACCCUAUAACACAGGGAAUCCGCAUGGAUAUAUUUGUUAAAGAUUUAUCGGUAGUAGAUGGGCAUGCGUUCCAUUAGCUUGUUGGUGAGGUAACGGCUCACCAAGGCAACGAUGGAUAGGGGAACUGAGAGGUUGAUCCCCCACACUGGAACUGAGACACGGUCCAGACUCCUACGGGAGGCAGCAGUGAGGAAUAUUGGUCAAUGGACGAGAGUCUGAACCAGCCAAGUCGCGUGAAGGAAGACGGCCCUACGGGUUGUAAACUUCUUUUGUAAGGGAAUAAAUAGUCUUACGCGCUAAGACGUUGCAGGUACCUUACGAAUAAGGAUCGGCUAACUCCGUGCCAGCAGCCGCGGUAAUACGGAGGAUCCGAGCGUUAUCCGGAUUUAUUGGGUUUAAAGGGUGCGCAGGCGGCAUGUUAAGUCGGCGGUGAAAUUUUGCAGCUCAACUGUAAAAGAGCCUUCGAAACUGGCAAGCUUGAGUGUGGAUGAAGUAGGCGGAAUUUGUGGUGUAGCGGUGAAAUGCAUAGAUAUCACAAAGAACACCGAUUGCGCAGGCAGCUUACUAAACCAUAACUGACGCUCAUGCACGAAGGCGUGGGGAUCAAACAGGAUUAGAUACCCUGGUAGUCCACGCAGUAAACGAUGAUUACUGGCUGUUUGCGAUACAAUGUAAGCGGCUGAGCGAAAGCGUUAAGUAAUCCACCUGGGGAGUACGUUCGCAAGAAUGAAACUCAAAGGAAUUGACGGGGGCCCGCACAAGCGGAGGAGCAUGUGGUUUAAUUCGAUGAUACGCGAGGAACCUUACCAGGGCUCGAACGCAGGAGGAAUACACCCGAAAGGAUGUAGCCAGCAAUGGCCGCCUGCGAGGUGCUGCAUGGUUGUCGUCAGCUCGUGCCGUGAGGUGUCAGGUUAAGUCCUAUAACGAGCGCAACCCCUAUUCAUAGUUGCCAGCAUAUUACGAUGGGGACUCUAUGAAAACUGCCUGCGCAAGCAGUGAGGAAGGUGGGGAUGACGUCAAAUCAGCACGGCCCUUAUGUCCUGGGCUACACACGUGCUACAAUGGCCGGUACAAAAGGCCGCAACUACGCAAGUAGAGGCUAAUCCCUAAAACCGGUCUCAGUUCGGAUUGGAGUCUGCAACCCGACUCCAUGAAGCCGGAUUCGCUAGUAAUCGCACAUCAGCCAUGGCGCGGUGAAUACGUUCCCGGGCCUUGUACACACCGCCCGUC
rnacentral:rRNA from 1 species